rnacentral:tRNA from 1 species
GGAGAGGUGGCCGAGUCCGGUUGAAGGCGCUCGACUCGAAAUCGAGUAGGUGGUGCUGAGCCGCCUCGUGGGUUCGAAUCCCACCCUCUCCG